GUGGGGAAUCUUAGACAAUGGGCGCAAGCCUGAUCUAGCCAUGCCGCGUGAGUGAUGAAGGCCCUAGGGUUGUAAAGCUCUUUCAGGGGGGAAGAUAAUGACGGUACCCCCAGAAGAAGCCCCGGCUAACUCCGUGCCAGCAGCCGCGGUAAUACGGAGGGGGCUAGCGUUGUUCGGAAUUACUGGGCGUAAAGCGCACGUAGGCGGACCAGAAAGUCAGGGGUGAAAUCCCGGGGCUCAACCCCGGAACUGCCUUUGAAACUCCUGGUCUUGAGGUCGAGAGAGGUGAGUGGAAUUCCGAGUGUAGAGGUGAAAUUCGUAGAUAUUCGGAGGAACACCAGUGGCGAAGGCGGCUCACUGGCUCGAUACUGACGCUGAGGUGCGAAAGCGUGGGGAGCAAACAGGAUUAGAUACCCGUGUAGUCC
rnacentral:rRNA from 1 species